rnacentral:rRNA from 1 species
GAUGAACGCUGGCGGCGUGCCUAAUACAUGCAAGUCGAGCGAACAGACGAGGAGCUUGCUCCUCUGACGUUAGCGGCGGACGGGUGAGUAACACGUGGAUAACCUACCUAUAAGACUGGGAUAACUUCGGGAAACCGGAGCUAAUACCGGAUAACAUGUUGAACCGCAUGGUUCAACAGUGAAAGACGGUCUUGCUGUCACUUAUAGAUGGAUCCGCGCCGCAUUAGCUAGUUGGUAAGGUAACGGCUUACCAAGGCAACGAUGCGUAGCCGACCUGAGAGGGUGAUCGGCCACACUGGAACUGAGACACGGUCCAGACUCCUACGGGAGGCAGCAGUAGGGGAUCUUCCGCAAUGGGCGAAAGCCUGACGGAGCAACGCCGCGUGAGUGAAGAAGGUCUUCGGAUCGUAAAACUCUGUUAUUAGGGAAGAACAAAUGUGUAAGUAACUAUGCACGUCUUGACGGUACCUAAUCAGAAAGCCACGGCUAACUACGUG